rnacentral:rRNA from 1 species
CACAUGCAGUCGAGGGGCAGCGGAGAGGUAGCAAUACCUUUGCCGGCGACCGGCGCACGGGUGAGUAACACGUAUGCAACCCACCUGUAACAGGGGGAUAACCCGGAGAAAUCCGGACUAAUACCCCAUAAUAUGGGCGCUCCGCAUGGAGAGCCCAUUAAAGAGAGCAAUUUUGGUUACAGACGAGCAUGCGCUCCAUUAGCCAGUUGGCGGGGUAACGGCCCACCAAGGCGACGACGGAUAGGGGUUCUGAGAGGAAGGUCCCCCACAUUGGAACUGAGACACGGUCCAAACUCCUACGGGAGGCAGCAGUGAGGAAUAUUGGUCAAUGGUCGGCAGACUGAACCAGCCAAGUCGCGUGAGGGAAGACGGCCCUACGGGUUGUAAACCUCUUUUGUCGGAGAGUAAAGUACGCUACGCGUAGCGUAUUGCAAGUAUCCGAAGAAAAAGCAUCGGCUAACUCCGUGCCAGCAGCCGCGGUAAUACGGAGGAUGCGAGCGUUAUCCGGAUUUAUUGGGUUUAAAGGGUGCGUAGGCGGCACGCCAAGUCAGCGGUGAAAUUUCCGGGCUCAACCCGGAGUGUGCCGUUGAAACUGGCGAGCUAGAGUGCACAAGAGGCAGGCGGAAUGCGUGGUGUAGCGGUGAAAUGCAUAGAUAUCACGCAGAACCCCGAUUGCGAAGGCAGCCUGCUAGGGUGCGACAGACGCUGAGGCACGAAAGCGUGGGUAUCGAACAGGAUUAGAUACCCUGGUAGUCCACGCAGUAAACGAUGAAUACUAACUGUUUGCGAUACAAUGUAAGCGGUACAGCGAAAGCGUUAAGUAUUCCACCUGGGGAGUACGCCGGCACGGUGAAACUCAAAGGAAUUGACGGGGGCCCGCACAAGCGGAGGAACAUGUGGUUUAAUUCGAUGAUACGCGAGGAACCUUACCCGGG